rnacentral:rRNA from 1 species
CCUACGGGAGGCAGCAGUGAGGAAUAUUGGUCAAUGGACGAGAGUCUGAACCAGCCAAGUAGCGUGAAGGAUGACUGCCCUAUGGGUUGUAAACUUCUUUUAUAUGGGAAUAAAAUGUUCCACGUGUGGGAUUUUGUAUGUACCAUAUGAAUAAGGAUCGGCUAACUCCGUGCCAGCAGCCGCGGUAAUACGGAGGAUCCGAGCGUUAUCCGGAUUUAUUGGGUUUAAAGGGGGCGUAGGUGGUUUGUCAAGUCAGUUGUGAAAGUUUGCGGCUCAACCGUAAAAGUGCAGUUGAAACUGGAAGUCUUGAGUACAGUAGAGGUGAGCGGAAUUCGUGGUGUAGCGGUGAAAUGCUUAGAUAUCACGAAGAACUCCGAUUGCGAAGGCAGCUCACUGGACUGCAACUGACACUGAGGCUCGAAAGUGUGGGUAUCAAACAGGAUUAGAUACCCUUGUAGUC